rnacentral:lncRNA from 1 species
AUAAGUACAAUAGAAUAAAAGAUUACAAAUAAAAUGUAUAUUUCAUUUCAGUAGCAUAUCACAUCAAAUACAAUACAUCAUCCACCGACUACACGCAUUAAGGUUCAACGCCUAACAAGGGCGCAUCAAAAUAAUUUUACAUGUACACAACAGAAUACUUCUGCAAAAACACCUGCAAGGUUCUAGUAUACAAGGUUCAACGCAUUAAGGUUCAUCCUCUUCCUCUGCACAAUAUGCUCUUGCCAUUGCCGCCUGCAAGAAAAAAAUGAUGGUAUCUGAAAAAGAAGUAUGCAGUAUGUCCAAAUUAGGAGUAUACCAAAACAGUAUGAGUUUUGCAGCCUAAUUAGCAUUUUUUUUCUCAUAUACAUAUUUCUUUACUAUAAUAACUAAAUGUAUGUUGGAACACCAACUAUUUCUUGUAUUAGAUAUAUCACAAAAUCUAUUUCAUGGUAUUAAAAUUGUGUAAUGCUUCAGCCCCAGCUAACCAAUAUAUCUAGUAGUCUCCGUACCGAAGUUAGAAUAUAUUUGAUACGGAGUCGUCAAAUGCACUCUCUGCUGCACAAUCCUUUUAUUCAAGUAAUCUCUUUGGUAGAAUAACUUAAUGUAUGUUGGAACACCAACUAUUUCUUCUAUUAGAUAUAGCACCAAAUCUAUUUCAUAGAUUUUACUGUUUUCUGAAAUAAUGUGAUAUCCACGGCAUGGAAAGAAAGCCUGUCUUAUUGGAUAGAAUUCAAGAUGCAUUUUCCCUUUUAUGUCAAGUGGACGUAAGAAUUUCUAGUCCGUGUGUAUCAUGUAUAACUCUAAUUAAGUAUACCUGAACAUUCCAAAGGCGAAGUUUUAUAUUAUAUUGGCAAACUUUAUAUUCUUUUUUUUUGUUUGCAGGGAGCAAACUUUUAUAUUCAAUGGCGGUAGAUAAAUAUUGCUAAAAUCCUAUAAGAUAAUGCACCGAGUUAAUCAAUCCACGAAGGUUAUUCAGAGAAACAUAGGUAGUAAUAUCAUCGAUACAGGGGACAUAUCCUUUAGUUACAUGGUGAUAUUAUAUGCAUAGGUGCAACAUGCAAUUGAUAGAGAUAUUAAUCCAUCUAGAAAUCUAGGAAGAUAUACUUAAGCACUCAUCAAAAAAUGAUUCUAAUAUUCAAUCCUACUUAAAAAAGAGUUAUGCGUACACGUAUUGAUUAAGUAGAAGUAAAUACUAACAAAUUCGUGCAGAAAUUUACUUCGGCCAACGCAAAUCCGACUCAACUGGAUACAUACAACUAAAUCAAACCUUUGUCUCUUAAGUAAUCAUUGAUCCCAAUGCAGCGAUCACACCUCCACUUCAAUUGUCCUGCACCGGCAUUUUUCUCACCCACCUUACUUGACAUUAAUUGUACCUGCAAGGCGACAACUACAUUAGCUUUCUCCUUGAGCCGUUCACAAUGGUGUUCCACUGAUUAUUCAAGAGGCAGGAUCACAUAUACACAGUGACCUGAGUGAUUUAGCAUUGAUUGACAUCUGUUACUUGUGCACAUGUGUGUGAAUAAAAUAGCACCUAAAUUAAGCCAGAUAAAUAUGAAAGAAUUUGUAGUAGCUCCUUACCUUGCUGGCACAAAUAAUCGAUUGACAGUGAAUAUUAUAAAAAUAGGUAUACCUGAACUAAAACUGUAGCUAAAACAACUUCAUGCACCAUAUAACUACACUAAGACAAUUAAAUGCUGAAACUUCCACAUUAAGACAAUUACUUUGCUUUAAAUUAGGAUCUAAAAAAUGUAUAUAUGUUAAGUUAACGUGGGAGAUUGUUUGUGUAAAAGAGUCCAAUUUAUACCAUGUAACUUACAUGAUAGAUGAGCUGAGUAUAAAUAUAUACCAUAGUAAAAUUAUCCUGAAGAUUAGGCUAU